AACAAACGCUGGCGGCGCGUUUUAAGCAUGCAAGUCGGACGGCAAGAGUUGUAGCAAUAUGACUCCUAGAGUGGCGAACGGGUGAGUAACACGUAGGUGAUCUACCCUUGGAUGGGGGAUAGUCCGUGGAAACACGGGGUAAUACCGCAUGAGGCCUUGUGGGUGGAGCCAUGAGGUGAAAGGUGCAAUUGCACCGUCUGGGGAUGAGCCUGCGGUCCAUUAGGUAGUUGGCGGGGUAAGAGCCCACCAAGCCGACGAUGGAUAGCCGGCCUGGGAGGGUGUACGGCCACACUGGAACUGAGACACGGUCCAGACUCCUACGGGAGGGAGCAGCUAAGAAUCUUCCGCAAUGGGGGAAACCCUGACGGAGCGACGCCGCGUGGACGAUGGAGGCCGUAAGGUUGUAAAGUCCUUUUCCUGGUGAAGAAUGACCGUGGGAGUGGAAAGCCCAUGGGAUGACGUUAGCCAGGGAAUAAGCCCCGGCCAAUUACGUGCCAGCAGCAGCCGCGGUAACAC
rnacentral:rRNA from 1 species